UACAGAGGGGGCAAGCGUUGUUCGGAAUUACUGGGCGUAAAGGGCGCGUAGGCGGCCCGCUAAGUCGAACGUGAAAUCCCCGAGCUCAACUCGGGAACUGCGUCCGAUACUGGCGGGCUUGAAUCCGGGAGAGGGAUGCGGAAUUCCAGGUGUAGCGGUGAAAUGCGUAGAUAUCUGGAGGAACACCGGUGGCGAAGGCGGCAUCCUGGACCGGCAUUGACGCUGAGGCGCGAAAGCCAGGGGAGCGAACGGG
rnacentral:rRNA from 1 species